rnacentral:lncRNA from 13 species
GGACCCUUCUACUUCAGGAUCCCAUCUGGCACACUCCUUCUUUCAGCUUAUAUGGCUUCAAGAGCCUUGGACCUGCUUAGCACUGUCAGAGAAGCCUCAAGCAUCAUCAGCAGCAAACAUCAGAAGUAAAGCAACAGAAAAAAAAUUGUCAGCACUGUUCCAAUGGGCUUCUUCCACAACCAAGCAUGCUGACUACACAGGAAGCACUUGACUCAGAACUUAAAUAUUACCAUGAUGACUUCAGCAGGGAAAAAUGAGAUUAAUUUGAGUUCCAUGUCAUUAUUUUUCGGUCCUCUAUGACCACCCAGAUGUUUGAAAUUGAUCAUCACUGACAGUUUCAACAUUUGGUCUAGCAAUUCCUUAGAAAUCCAAGGUAUGCUGACAAAAUCUAGUUUCCUGAAU